rnacentral:ncRNA from 1 species
GAUAACUGGCUUGUGGCAGCCAAGCGUUCUUAGCGACGUUGCUUUUUGAUCCUUCGAUGUCGGCUCUUCCUAUCAUUGCGAAGCAGAAUUCGCCAAGCGUUGGAUUGUUCACCCACCAACAGGGAAUGUGAGGUGGGUUUAGACCGUCGUUCUUUAUGAACGAGUGGAUAGGAC